GGCAUUAAAUUCAUUGAAGAUCUGCAGUUUAAACAAUUAGUUCUUCAUCACUUUUCCAAGCUCUAUAUCAUCCUUUCAUGAGCUAUUUUUCACACCACUAACAGCUAAAUGAGAUCAAGAACUAAAAAGUGGAAGACUUGUGUAAUCAGCAACAGAAAGUAGCUGUCCUUGCACAAGGCUUUUUGCAUAAUCAUACAGAAAAUAAAAGCUAUUAUGCAUAUUUGCAGAAGUGAGAUCGACACCUUGAGCACUAAAACCCUCAUACGACAUGAACUAGACAGACACUAUCCCAGACUAGCGCUUGCUGCUGCAAGGGGUGGGGGAGAAGGAAAGAGAGAGACAGAGAGAGAUAGCUCAUAAUUGAAUGCUGGUUGGGACAAUUCCCAUGAAUAAGCGAAAGCAGCUUAAAAUGUUUUGGAUGGAAAUCUAUAAGAAGAGGGGAUCUGGAUAUGAUCUUAGUUUGAAUUGUUUAAGAGAAAAUUAGCAUAUUCUUUUAACUGAUUUGCCUCCUGCAUAAAUACAAUAUUCAUGAAUGGAGAAAAAAAAAUCAUUUACUUGAGAUGGUUAAUUAAGGAAAUCUUUUGAGUAUUGUUGUAAAAUAUAUUUUUAGCACAUUCUUUUAACCAAUUUACCUCCCACGUAAAUACUAAAUUCAUGAAUUAGGGAAAAAGAAAAAAUACUUGAGAUGGUUAAAUAAGAAAAUUCCUGUAACAUUUGUUGUAAAAUAUGCUUUGGACUCUAUUGUUUCAAAAUUAGCAAUGCUAGUCCCUAUCUACCAUCAAUGAAAAGAACAAGAUUUUGAAGGACUAAAGUAUUUCAUAAGAUAAUUCAAGGACUGAAAUACAAUAAAAUUUUAAAAUUUUAGGAAAUAAAGUGUUUCAUAAUAUAAUUCAAGGGCUAAAAUGCAAUAAAAAUGAAAGUUUUACGAACUAAUGUGUUUGGGGGACUAAAGUACAAUGAAAAAUCAUAACUUUAUUAAACAAGGACUAAAUUGUAGAGUCAUUACUAAAUCACAAGUACCAAAAUGUAUAUUAUGAAAAACCUUGGGGUAUUUUAGUAAUUGACCCUAUUUGAGGCGGAAUUAAAAUUAUACCUUGUUAUAUGUGCUUCAAGUCCACAUUCAAAUAUUGCUUUCCAUUCCAACCAACAAAAAAUAUUGCUUUUUAUUGAACUCAGGAAUCAAAAGAUGCAAAACAAGUCAGACAUUUGUUAAAAAUUCAACACCUAAUUAGGGGUGUCCAUUCUUCAAUUAUAUCCAAAAAACCGAACUAACCUCACAAAUUCAGUUAUUUUGGUAAAAAGUAAUUCAGUUAUUGGUUUGGAUAGUAUUUUUUAAAUAAAUUUUGGUUUUCGAUUUUUU
rnacentral:misc_RNA from 1 species